rnacentral:rRNA from 1 species
AUGGGAACGCGAAGAACCUUACCUACUCUUGACAUCCAGAGAACUUUCCAGAGAUGGAUUGGUGCCUUCGGGAACUCUGAGACAGGUGCUGCAUGGCUGUCGUCAGCUCGUGUUGUGAAUGUUGGUUAAGUCCGCAACGAGCGCAACCCGUUAUCCUUUGUUGCCAGCGGUCCGGCCGGGAACUCAAAGGAGACUGCCAGUGAUAAACUGGAGGAAGGUGGGGAUGACGUCAAGUCAUCAUGGCCCUUACGAGUAGGGCUACACACGUGCUACAAUGGCGCAUACAAAGAGAAGCGACCUCGCGAGAGCAAGCGGACCUCAUAAAGUGCGUCGUAGUCCGGAUUGGAGUCUGCAACUCGACUCCAUGAAGUCGGAAUCGCUAGUAAUCGUAGAUCAGAAUGCUACGGUGAAUACGUUCCCGGGUCUUGUACACACCGAGUCGUGGGAGGCAA